rnacentral:rRNA from 1 species
AACGUAGGAGACAAACGUUAUCCGGAGUUACUGGGCGUAAAGGGCGUGUAGGUGGUUAUGUAAGUCUGGCGUGAAAUUUUUCGGCUUAACCGGGAAAGGUCGUCGGAUACUGCACAACUAGAGGACGGUAGAGGCGUGUGGAAUUCCGGGUGUAGUGGUGAAAUGCGUAGAUAUUCGGAAGAACACCAGUGGCGAAGGCGGCUCACUGGACCGGUAUUGACGCUGAGGUGCGAAAGCGUGGGGAGCAAACAGG